rnacentral:piRNA from 1 species
CACUAUGCAAAAAGAGAUCGAUCGG